AUGCGCAUCCUUCAAAGUUUCGGUGACGCCUCGGGCCUACGGAUAAACCUCACCAAGUCUACGGCUACGCCAAUCCAGUGCAACAACAUCGACCUGGGCUUAGUUCUUCAAGCUUUUCGCGGUCCGAUCGCUCAUUUUCCGAUUAGGUACCUAGGUCUUCCACUUACCACAGGCCGGCUACGCCUUGUACACCUACAAUUCAUCCUCGACCGUGUCCGUGCACGGCUUGCAGGCUGGAAGGGGUGUAUGCUCUCCAUAGCAUGCAGGCGUGUCCUUGUUCGCUGCGUCCUCUCCGCCCUGCCCACUUCCGCCCUCACUACACUUCGGGUUCCAAAGAAGCUCCUGAAGAAAAUUGAUAAGUGUAGACGACGCUUUCUGUGGGGAAAAGAUCAAGAACUCUCAGGUGGCAGCUGCAAGGUCAACUGGGAAAGGGUUUGCUCACUAAUCGAACACACAUGGCUCGGCGUUCCGAACCUGUCGAAGUUCAGUCAUGCGCUCCGGCUGCGAUGGUUAUGGCUCAGCUGGAAAAGCCCCUCUCGGCCCUGGGUAGGAACGGAGCCCCCAUGCGAAGCCUCGGACCACGCCCUCUUCAAUGCCGCGAUGACAGUGACCAUUGGCAACGGCAGGACGGCGAGCUUCUGGCACAGCUCAUGGCUAGGAGCGGUGCCGCUCAAGAUCAGUUUCCCAACGCUCUUCAAGGACUCAAGACGUAAGGGCCAAACAGUGGCUCAAGCUAUUGCUGACAAUCGUUGGAUCUUGGACCUGGCACAUGGCAACACCAACGCCCUGGUCAGCGAGGUUCUGAACCUUCAUCGCCUUGUCCAGAGCUAG
rnacentral:rRNA from 1 species